AUUUUGCUGCGUCACCAGCCGCCGCCCGGCCUCACCAGCCCUCGCUCUCACGCACGCACGUUCGUUCUCCAUCCUCGCGCCCCUUUUCCUACACUUUCCUCCUCUCCCCGACCGGAGGAGCCGCUCUCUCCGCGCGGUGCAUUCUGGGGACCAGGUCGAGCCCGCCGCUGCCGCCGUCGCUGAGGGAAGCGAGUAGAGGCCGCACCGCGGAGAAAACGUCGGAGUCGCCACCGGAGUUUAGUCCACUGCCCAGCAGCUGCCGCCGGAGAGGCCCACCCACCCAUUCACCCGUCCCCCUGCCCCGUUCACGAUGCAGCCUGCUUCUGCAAAGUGGUACGAUCGAAGGGACUAUGUCUUCAUUGAAUUUUGUGUUGAAGACAGUAAAGAUGUUAAUGUAAAUUUUGAAAAAUCCAAACUUACAUUCAGUUGUCUUGGAGGAAGUGAUAAUUUUAAACAUUUAAAUGAAAUUGAUCUUUUUCACUGUAUUGAUCCAAAUGAUUCCAAGCAUAAAAGAACGGACAGAUCAAUUUUAUGUUGUUUACGAAAAGGAGAAUCUGGCCAGUCAUGGCCAAGAUUAACAAAAGAAAGGGCAAAGCUUAACUGGCUUAGUGUGGACUUCAAUAAUUGGAAAGACUGGGAAGAUGAUUCAGAUGAAGACAUGUCUAAUUUUGAUCGUUUCUCUGAGAUGAUGAACAACAUGGGUGGUGAUGAGGAUGUAGAUUUACCGGAAGUAGAUGGAGCAGAUGAUAGAGAAGAGAAACCAUUUUAUACCAAGAUUCAGCCUGGUUGACAGGGAUUGAAAGGAUGGACUCAAUUCCUACCAAAAGACACACAUCUUCCUCAGCUGUCCAUCUGUAAACCCAUUCUUAAGUCAGUUGAUUAAAUUAAUAAGCUUGAUUUAACCACCUAUCUUUGCUACGAUUCACAAGACAGUGAUGAUGAAAAAAUGCCAGAUCUGGAAUAAGGAAUGUUGUCGUCCCUGGAUUUUGAGAAAGAAAAAUAACUUCUCUGCAAGAUUUCAUAAUUGAGAGAAUUCCUGAGUUGAUAGCUCUAAAGGCAGAUGCUGCAUUUGCCUCCUUUAACCCAUUUUUCAACCUGUUUGUUUUCUUAAAGGCUUCACUAAGGGUUGAUAUGUACCAUUGUAUGGGGCAAUUUUAAGUCAGCUAAGGCAAUAACCUUAUGCAUGAACAUUUCCCAGACUUCCAUGAUGCUGUUGAGGUCCUAGACAAUUGAUACAGCAGUUGUGAUAAAUAAAAACAUUUCACCUAAGUCUCCUUUACUUCAUAACAUAGAUACUGACAUGAUAGGAAGCUCUUGGAUUAUGGAAAGAUAACUAAGUUUUAGAUUUUAGAACAUGGACUCAACCUGGCUGAAACAAAUGGAUUGAUACCUUAAACUGGUAACCUGUUGUUCCUCUGGUAUAUUCUUCAGGAUUGUUCCACUAAAGUUUUAUUUUUCAAAAAAUUUACUUCACAUUAUUGUACAUAAGUGAUCACUUGUCAGUGUUCCAAAUGUAUUUUAGCUAAAACUAGUGAAUGCCCUAACUUAGAUGGUUUUUGAAGCCUGUACAUUUGGUAUUGUUUGACCCUUAAACUUUUACAUCUCUUAGCAUGGAGGACAAAGAAAGGCUGUACAUUGUUGCUUGAGAGUCUGUACAUUUAGACCAAAUUUGUAUUUGCACUGUCAGUGGCAAAUGAGUGAAAAAAUGGUAUUAAUACACUAUUGGGUUUUUUUAUUUCUUUUUUUUUUUUUUUUGAUCCAGCUUGUACCAGGGCUGAAAACCUCAAUUUAUGUUCAUGACAGUGGGAUUUUUUUUAAUGUCUACAUUCUUUCUAAUAAACUGUUGGAAGACUUCUUGGUUGUCCUUUUAAGUGUCUGGUUUACUGUAAUUUUAUGUAUUACUAUUUACUGGAAUGGAGUUAUUUUUACUUGAGGAAGAAUUUGGGGAUAUUUCUCUGUUUGGAAAAAAAAAGGCUUGCUAUAUAAUGUCACAGGAAACCUUUUAAAAGUGGAUCUGUAAUAGCAAAUUGUAGAUGCACUUUUCAGUAGUUGGAAAAGAAAGUGUUGUGAUUUGAUUGAAAUAAAACUAAAUGUGUUGUCCUCCUAAA